rnacentral:rRNA from 1 species
AGAAGUGGCGGCAUGCUAUACAUGCAGUCGAACGAGUUCUCGUUGAUGAUCGGUGCUUGCACCGAGAUUCAACAUGGAACGAGUGGCGGACGGGUGAGUAACACGUGGGUAACCUGCCCUUAAGUGGGGGAUAACAUUUGGAAACAGAUGCUAAUACCGCAUAGAUCCAAGAACCGCAUGGUUCUUGGCUGAAAGAUGGCGUAAGCUAUCGCUUUUGGAUGGACCCGCGGCGUAUUAGCUAGUUGGUGAGGUAAUGGCUCACCAAGGCGAUGAUACGUAGCCGAACUGAGAGGUUGAUCGGCCACAUUGGGACUGAGACACGGCCCAAACUCCUACGGGAGGCAGCAGUAGGGAAUCUUCCACAAUGGACGCAAGUCUGAUGGAGCAACGCCGCGUGAGUGAAGAAGGCUUUCGGGUCGUAAAACUCUGUUGUUGGAGAAGAAUGGUCGGCAGAGUAACUGUUGUCGGCGUGACGGUAUCCAACCAGAAAGCCACGGCUAACUACGUGCCAGCAGCCGCGGUAAUACGUAGGUGGCAAGCGUUAUCCGGAUUUAUUGGGCGUAAAGCGAGCGCAGGCGGUUUUUUAAGUCUGAUGUGAAAGCCCUCGGCUUAACCGAGGAAGCGCAUCGGAAACUGGGAAACUUGAGUGCAGAAGAGGACAGUGGAACUCCAUGUGUAGCGGUGAAAUGCGUAGAUAUAUGGAAGAACACCAGUGGCGAAGGCGGCUGUCUGGUCUGUAACUGACGCUGAGGCUCGAAAGCAUGGGUAGCGAACAGGAUUAGAUACCCUGGUAGUCCAUGCCGUAAACGAUGAAUGCUAGUGUUGGAGGGUUUCCGCCCUUCAGUGCCGCAGCUAACGCAUUAAGCAUUCCGCCUGGGGAGUACGACCGCAAGGUUGAAACUCAAAGGAAUUGACGGGGGCCCGCACAAGCGGUGGAGCAUGUGUUUAAUUCGAAGCAACGCGAAGAACUUACAGUCUGACAUCUUUUGAUCACCUGAGAGAUCAGUUUCCCUUCGGGGCAAAUGAACAGUGUGCAUGAUGUCGUCAGCUCGUGUCGUGAGAUGUGGGUAGGUCGCACGAGCGCACCUAAUGACUAGUGCAGCAUAAGUGCACUCUAGUAGACUUGCCGUGACACCGAGACGGUGGGAUGACGUCAAUCAUCAUGCCCUUAGACCUGCUACACGUUCCAAUGAUGUCACAGUUGCGGACUCGAAGUCAGGCUAAUUCU